rnacentral:rRNA from 1 species
UACGUAGGGGGCUAGCGUUGUCCGGAUUUAUUGGGCGUAAAGAGCGUGUAGGCGGCCUGGUAGGUCAGUUGUGAAAACUCGAGGCUCAACCUCGAGACGCCGAUUGAAACCAUCAGGCUAGAGUCCGGAAGAGGAGAGUGGAAUUCCCGGUGUAGCGGUGAAAUGCGCAGAUAUCGGGAAGAACACCCGUGGCUAAGGCGGCUCUCUAGUACGGUACUGACGCUGAGACGCGAAAGCGUGGGGAGCGAACAGG